AAAGCCUAUAAAACCUAAAUGAAAACUCAAAACUUUACGAAACUUGGUGAAAACAUGUGUCAGAUGACUCUGAACAAGCAUGCAAAGUUUCAUGGAAAUCAAACCAUAGGUGGUGCUAUCACAGUAGAAAAGGCCUCAAAAACAAAAGAUUUAUAUGGUAAAUGGCCUCAAAUUGGUUGAAAAUGCUCAUAUAUUCACACAAACACUAGAUCUUCAUAUCAUAUGAUAGAUGUCCUCAUUCUGAACAACUUUGCC
ensembl:lncRNA